rnacentral:rRNA from 1 species
UACGGAGGGUGCAAGCGUUGUCCGGAUUUAUUGGGUUUAAAGGGUGCGUAGGCGGCCCGUUAAGUCAGUGGUGAAAGCCUCCAGCUCAACUGGAGAACUGCCAUUGAUACUGACGGGCUUGAGUACAGACGAGGUUGGCGGAACUGAUUGUGUAGCGGUGAAAUGCAUAGAUACAAUCAAGAACUCCGAUUGCGUAGGCAGCUAACUAGGCUGUAACUGACGCUGAGGCACGAAAGCGUGGGGAGCGAACAGG